CAGCAGCCACGGUAAUAUGUAGGUGGCAAGCGUUGUCCGGAAUUAUUGGGCGUAAAGGGCUCGCAGGCGGUUUCUUAAGUCUGAUGUGAAAGCCCCCGGCUCAACCGGGGAGGGUCAUUGGAAACUGGGAAACUUGAGUGCAGAAGAGGAGAGUGGAAUUCCACGUGUAGCGGUGAAAUGCGUAGAGAUGUGGAGGAACACCAGUGGCGAAGGCGACUCUCUGGUCUGUAACUGACGCUGAGGAGCGAAAGCGUGGGGAGCGAACAGGAUUAGAUACCCGCGUAGUCCCUGUCUCUUAUAC
rnacentral:rRNA from 1 species